CUAGCCGUAAACGAUGGAUACUAGGUGUUGGUGGUAUCAACCCCGCCAGUGCCGUAGCUAACGCAUUAAGUAUCCCGCCUGGGGAGUACGGCCGCAAGGCUAAAACUCAAAGGAAUUGACGGGGGCCCGCACAAGCAGCGGAGCGUGGGGUUUAAUUCGACGCAACGCGAAGAACCUUACCAGGGCUUGACAUGGUCAGGAGGUCGGCGGAAACGUCGGCGCCUCGCAAGGGGCCUGAUCACAGGUGU
rnacentral:rRNA from 1 species